CUCGUCGCUACUGGCACUCAGCAACAAUAGAAGAUGAGCAAGAGCCUUCGCUUCUUCUCACUCACUGUUGUGGCCUGAGACCCUACAUUGAAAAAAAUCGACCCGAGCACCUGUGGCCAUGAAUUCACCUUCUAUGGAAAGGAUCUCAGAUUCCUCUCUCUCCAAAUUGCCUAUAUCAAAGCAGAUAUGGUCUAUAGGAUUGGCGUCCCAUCUUCUAAGCUAUAAAAAAAAUAUUUCAACGCAACACUAUUAAGGAUUUCACUUGUCACCCAACCGAUCCCAUGUAAGGCACCAAUUUCCGACUAUCAUGGAGACUGGUGCUCUUGGCGGGGAAUAGAAUGAUACUGGGGAAUAAAUAUCCAAUGUUAAGGACUCAUUUGAUUUGUAAGAAGAAUUUUUUCUCACUGAUUUUUUUUAAAAAAAAAAUUGAUGCUGGGUAUAUGAUGCUCUGGAAAGUGAUCUUUUGCAUGUUUUGUUGACUCGGAAAAAUUGAGGCCAUUCAAAAAUGGUUUACAUUUGGUUGAGCAUUUACUUUUUUAAAAAAAUAUAUAAAAUAUUUGUUAUACCUCUAAUAAAGAGAAUGAUCUUAGCCCAUUAUAUCUAAAAAGCUUAAAAAGCUUAAGAGCAUACUUGAAAACAAAAAUAUUUUAAUUUUCAGCGGGUGGGCAUUGGACUUUUUCGUAUCCCACUUUCCUCCCCUUGUUUUCUACAUCGAGUCCUGAAAGCCAUCCAGCUGUAGCGCCCCAUCCCUUUCUUGCAAGUUGAGAACCACAAAACUCCUCCAUCUCCAAAAUGUGAAUAUUGUUAUGGAUUCACAUCAGGUUAUUAAAGUCCUCCAUGACACCAAAAUAUCUUGCCAAACAGUUUAUAGGCCUCAGCUUAGCACUUUGUCUCUUUGGAAUAUUCACGAAAAUCAUAUCCCAGAAGAAAUCAAUUCAUGACUUGGUGGCACCUAAAUGUUGACAUUUGUGAUGGAAAAAGCUUUUUCACCCCGAAAGGGUUAUGUGUCCCCCAUAAACCAUCACAGAUUUUGAGGUUCUGUAAAUGAAAACGUUGGCAUUUUAGAACCGUGUUUCGACCUAUCCUAGGGAGGCUAUUGAGGAAACGUCCAAGCACUCUCACAAUCAUGACAGCACCGUAUGAAUUCGUAAGAAAUAAAACAGAGGGAAUGGAAGAAAAAUUACACAAUAUAUGGUUCCAUGAUUAGGAUUAUAAACUAGUCUUCAAAACAUUUUUCCCCACCAGAAAUCUAAUCUCUUUAUACGGUACAUGGUUCCAUAAUCUACAAAAUUGCACAGUAUAUCCUAACUGCUAAGCAUGGCUUGAUGUGUCCUUCUAACACCAAAUUCGGAUUUCAGGACCUCCUCACACUACGCAUGGCCCAACAGGCCCCACCAUAUUGGAAUAACUAUACAUGCCUGAGAGAUCUUGCAAAUAGCUCGGUGCCUUUCAAAAGGUAAACCAGACAACCAUACUAGGUUUUUUUUUUGAUCAACUGAGUACUGCAUCCAAGAUGGUUUUGUCAGAAGGCCGUCCUUGGAUAGGCCAAGGAGCAACUCCAUCUGGCCAACCCAUUUAAAGUUCUAGCAAUCAAUGAAAGUAGAACAUACAGCUCGGAUCAUUGUUACAAUCAUGGAGGCCUAAACAAUGUUUAACGUAUUUGGAUCCUUUGGAAAUGAAGAAAUCCAUGAGAACUUAACGAAACAAAACAAAGCUUUGAAGGCAUUCGGGGUCUAAUAUGCUUUGUCACCAUAAAUUUUAGAUCAGCAACACAAAUACAUGCAUAGAUGCUGCAACAAGCAUCGCAGAGUAAACCAUAAAACCGUCGGACAGACUUUGGAAACAUAAGAAGGGAGCCCUUUUGAUGGCGAAAUAAAAAAGCAGCAUCCUUAGAGAAUGAGAAGCCACUUUCCUUUAUAUAGUCCUUCUAACAAGGAUCCAACCUUCACCUUCCCAUGGAAUAGAGGUUUCUUCAANNNNNNNNNNNNNNNNNNNNNNNNNNNNNNNNNNNNNNNNNNNNNNNNNNNNNNNNNNNNNNNNNNNNNNNNNNNNNNNNNNNNNNNNNNNNNNNNNNNNNNNNNNNNNNNNNNNNNNNNNNNNNNNNNNNNNNNNNNNNNNNNNNNNNNNNNNNNNNNNNNNNNNNNNNNNNNNNNNNNNNNNNNNNNNNNNNNNNNNNNNNNNNNNNNNNNNNNNNNNNNNNNNNNNNNNNNNNNNNNNNNNNNNNNNNNNNNNNNNNNNNNNNNNNNNNNNNNNNNNNNNNNNNNNNNNNNNNNNNNNNNNNNNNNNNNNNNNNNNNNNNNNNNNNNNNNNNNNNNNNNNNNNNNNNNNNNNNNNNNNNNNNNNNNNNNNNNNNNNNNNNNNNNNNNNNNNNNNNNNNNNNNNNNNNNNNNNNNNNNNNNNNNNNNNNNNNNNNNNNNNNNNNNNNNNNNNNNNNNNNNNNNNNNNNNNNNNNNNNNNNNNNNNNNNNNNNNNNNNNNNNNNNNNNNNNNNNNNNNNNNNNNNNNNNNNNNNNNNNNNNNNNNNNNNNNNNNNNNNNNNNNNNNNNNNNNNNNNNNNNNNNNNNNNNNNNNNNNNNNNNNNNNNNNNNNNNNNNNNNNNNNNNNNNNNNNNNNNAGGUACUGCAUCAAGGGGAGGAAAAAAAAAAAAAUCUUUUGGAUGGUGGAGAGCUUGUACGAUCAGUUUAUGUUGGAAGCCCGGAGCGAGGAGAGGGUCACUCUUAGCUAUAUCUGUGUCCUUUCCUCCUCGCAACUUGUGAUUUGAUUCAUUCUUUUGAUCUAUAAAUAAUUUAUAUUAAAUAAAUUUAAAUUUAAUAUAAAUAAAUUUGGAUCUGAUCAAACUAUCUAAAAUAAGUUGGAUUUAGAUUUAAAUUUUUAACUUAUUCAAUCUAUGUUUAUCUGUUUAAUACUUGGAUUGUAUCCAUCUAACCUGUUUAAAAUUAAUUUGUUUGGAACUUAUUGGUGACAUGUUUAACUCAAUCCGCUUAAUCUAUUUAAUUUAUUUAAAUUUAUUGAGUUUAUUAAAAAUCUAUCUUAUCCAUUUAAUCUGUUUAAUUUAAUUUAAUAUAUUUAAUAAAUAAAUUAUGUGGAUCAAGUCGGAUUACCUGUUUAAUGAACAAGUAAAAUUUAGAUUUGAAAUUUUAAUCUAUUUAAUAAGUAGAUCAAGUUUAGAUUAAUGAAUUUUGAUCCGAUCUGUAUCUAAUCCAAUUCGUAUCUAACAGACUCAAUGCAAUUGCCAGCCUCUAUUUCAAUUCAUGCACCACACACACAAAAAAAGAAAAGAAAAAGAAAACACCCUCAUUAACUUGCAAAACUUUAUACACUUUCUUAAUUUCUGUUAAGCAAUAUUAAUAAGAGCAGAAAAAAUACACAAUUAGAUCUUUUCCUAGUUAAAAGAAAAGUAAAUUAAAUACAUAAGUUCAAAACUUAGGAGAAUAGUCGAGAACAAAAAUCAAUUAAGAAAAUAGUGUUUAGCUAUGUUGCCCCGAAAAGUCACCAAAUAUGGUGUCACCGGGGAAUAACUAUUUCCUCUAGCACCAUCCUCCUCGCACUGUUGAUGUUAAGGAAGCACAGGCAGACAUGUUCCUCCAACUCUGCCAACUGUUCCAUGAACCGACCCUCACUGAGUUGCAGCUCCCUCACCACCUCUCUUAGCAUCAUCCAUCCUCCUUCCAUGUCUUCCUCCUCCAUGAACAACCUGAUCACAUCCCUCCCAUGCUCAACCUCAUCAUGCAGCCUCCUCACCAUCCUGCUCAUGGUGUCGAAGCCCCGGUCAAGUGCAAACGCCCCUCGCGCCGCUGCGUCGAGCUGAGAUCCCUCUCGAGCCACCGAUCCUUCUUCUCCAACCACAACAUUCUCCACCAUGGCGAUGACACCGCAUGUCGCGGCCGACCCGAUCCCGACUCCCAAGUUCAUACACCUCAGACGCCGCAUGAGCUUCCGGUGGGCCGACACCAGCUGCCUCGCCAUCGAUCCAUAUGCUUCGUGAAUUCUUUCGAAUCGAGUAGGAUUGGGUCCCGAGAAGGGGUUGUCGAGCUUGGAGAAGAGCACAAGGUUGGAUGCCAUGGAGUGGUGCUGGUCCUCGGUGCAUUGGCUGGCGGUGGCGAGUUCAAGGACUCUUCGGAGGAUGCGGUGGUCGGCGCGGGCUUGAUCGAUGGAUUCGAUGAGGGAGCCGCAUAAGUUGCAGGCGUGGAGGCUGGCGUCGAAGUAGUCGAGGAGGAGGGAGGGGAGGUGGGUGGUGCAGUGGAUGAUGGAGGACAGGACUUCUUGCUUGGGCUCCAGGAGGUGAGUGUAGUCUUGGUUCCUUGAUUUCCUCUUGGAGCUGGUGGUUUUGAGGUGUUUUUGGACUUGGGUACAGAUGUCCGUGUAGGACUUGCUCCUGAACGCUCCCCUGUACUCCUCUUUCACGGCUAAGUGGACGCUCUUAAUUGGGUCGGCAUGGCGAGUUUUUGGCGAUUCAUCUGGAGGCACUAUUAGCAUCAGGAAAGAGAGAGAUCCAUGUAAUUAGAACUGGAUGAAAGAAUCAACUAACUAAUGUCAGUUGCAUGCAUGCAUGCAUCUCCUCUACGUUAAUUUAUUUUGUUAUAAUCAAAAAAAACUAGUUUAUAUUACGGUAACAUUAACAUCUGAGCUAUGUUAACUUAUUUUGUUAUAGUAAAAAAAAAACUAAGUCUAUGUUACUAUAACAUUAACAUAUAUAUAUAUAUAUAUCGAGAGAGGGAUGGCUGCAUGAAGAUCUCACCACUAAAACAAAUAUGAGGAAGAAGGGCAGAACCGGAGAGAAACGACUUGAUCUUAGGCCACAUCUUUCUAUCUUUCAGUGAUCCAAAUUGCUAAGAUCUUUGGAGACCAUCAAGACUCAGGUAAUAAUGGACAAUUAUAUAACACAACACUGCUUGUUCCCUAUGGGGGAGGGAGGAGAACUUACAUUGGCAGAGGGAAGAAACCCAACCUCAGAAGAUAUUCGUCCCUCUUCCCCCUAACCGCAAACAUACCAGUGACGCAGGUUAGGUCAGGGCGUACCGCCCGCCAGCUGUAGGGCCGUCAUUAAUUUAUUAAAAAAGUUUGGACCGUUCGAUUUGUGUACGGUCAAAUCGUAGGGCGAUCCCAUCCUUCGGUACGCCCUCUUCCCGUGUGACGCCAGCUUCUGAAGGGAAUCAAAGGCUUUAGGUAAAGGGAAUGGGGGAAGUCCGGCCCGCGUUGGGCCCCUGGAAUUCGUGUGGUGACGCUGGUGCAAAUCCUCUUACAACUUCAUGAGUCGUAGGAGAUUUUUAUACUCUAAAAGUUUUCCUUUGCAAGCAAUAUUUCUAGGGAAUAUGUUCUCCUAGACACACACAUGUACAUGGGCACGCAUGCACAUACGUGGAAGAUGCUAGCAUUCUAAAAUUUAUAGCAAGCUAUCCUUAAUGGAAUUAAAGGAGGUUUUUUAGUUGUUUUGGUUGUCAUGCUUUGAAUGAGCUCUCCUUCCUUACAGGAGACACUUUGUUGGGACUGAAAAAAAUUAGUUGGGCAUCAGUUAAAGGUGUUAACCUUCUUUAUACUAAAAAGAUAUGCAUUUAAUCUAGGGGUGCAAUCGAGCCAAGGCGAACCGAGUAGCUAGAGACUCAAGCUCGACUCAAUUCAAAAUACUAGGACUUAAGACUUGACUCAAAGCCGAAGCCUUAAUUAUAUCUCAAGCUGGACCUCGACUCGAUGGAAAAGAAAGAAAUAUUUGAGAUUAACUCGACUCAACUUAAAUGUCAACCAAGUCAUACUUGAGCUCGAGUUCGAGCUCAAAUUCGAACCUUAGCCUGAUCAUAAAAUAUAAUAUAUAUUAUAAAUAAAAAUAUUAUUAUUAAAAUUUAAAUCAACUCAAAUAAGUUCGUGAGCUUUCGAGCCAAGGAUCUUGGUACUCAAGCUCGACUCGAGCUUGAUAGUAGCCGAGUCGAGUCAAGCUUGGACUCAAGCUAAGCUCGAGUAGCUCGGCAGCUCAACUCAUUUGCACUCCUAAUGUAAUAUGUUAACUUUCUAGCUACUAUUCAUAAAAAUAUUAUAAAACUGAUAUUUAACAUUCUCACUAGCUUCUAUAAUUAGCACUAAGAAGAGAAGAAAGAUACAACAUAGAAUGUUUAAUAAAAAUGUAUUCCUUUACAAAAGCCUUAGUAAAAAAUGUUUAGGAAUAAUUCAUGGACUCACAACCCAAAAACCUUAAGCUACUCAGUUAGGAUUAUAAAUCUAUGUGGCACUCCUUUAUUAGCUGAAGCGAGACCUUGACAAUCUCUCCCAACCAACACUGUGAUGUUUUCCCCAUAGAUUAGCUCCUAUGCAAGAGAGGGGCCCAUCCAUGGCCCAGGUCCUAUUUGAUCCUGGUAUCUCCUAGUGAAUGAUCCACAAGACUGAUAAGCUUGUAAUUCACAUUGCGCCUGGCUUUAAUACCAUCUAUCACAAAUUUAUAGUCCAAAAUGCUUAAACUAUUGAGUAGAGGAAUGACCAACUCAGGCUUAUAAACCAAUCUGGCACUUUUUUAUCCAUCGAUAUGGGAUUAAGAUAUAUGUACCAAAAUAUAUAGGACAUAGGUCAGCUACUUAGCCAGCGCCCUCUCUUUCUAUAAAAGGUUUUGGUUCGAACUCAAGUAGUAGUAUUUUUAUUAUAUUUUUAAUGAAAAAGAAAGUAAAAAUAUCUAAUCAAGCAAAGGAUAUGGCAACUUCAAACUAAUGAACCUGAUGCACCCUUGGUGGCUUGACGAGUAGGAAUUAUAAUUCCUAAUCGGUAAUAAAGGUGACACAGUCUAACGAGAAUGCGAGUCUAAAUUCCAGACAUUUUAUGAUACAUUUGCACCAUCAUACAAUAUUUUUCCCAAUUUUUACCUAACUACAUGUUAACUAUUUUUGGUUUUACUGUACCAAUGGCUAGACAUUACAAACCCAAACAAAUUACCUUAUUCUUUAUUGCCCGGUUUGGCCUGAAAGUGGCCUUUGUUGGCCUCUGUUCCAUGAAAUAUCAAGUACAAUUUUAAAAAGGAACCAUUGUAUCUUACCCAUCUCUUAUUGAGUUGAGAUCUUAUCAUAUCUGUAUUUGAUCUAGAGAGGAUUAGUUCUCCAAUCACGACUGCUCAUGAUUGGCUCGAAGACCAUGAUUGAAUAGUUCUCAUUACAUGCCGCGCCAUGUAUAGCAUAGGACCCAUUCAAUCAUAAUCAUCACACCAAUCACGAACGGUCAUGAUUGGAGAAUCGGCCCUCUACAGUUCAUUUAUAAAUUAUAGGGGAUCUAGACUCUCUCCUAUCAAUCCUUCAUUUUUUUCAGCAUCCGUAGCUAUAGAAAUUUCUUACCAAUCAAACCCUCAUGGCAUCACUUUACCACCCUAUUGCUCAAAAAAAAGAAAAAGAAAAAACCCAGCUACCAUUCACCCCAAUUUUUUUGUUCCCUGAGAGAGGCUUCGGUGAAAGUAGGAUGUGCUGAUAGCUCUGUGGUUACACUUACCAUCUUUUCCUUUAUAAUAAGGAGAUUUUGGAUUCGAGUUUUAGUGUGUUAUUUCUUGAAUAGUUACACUAAAUAACUUUGUUAAGCGGUGCCUUAUUAUUAUUAUUCUAAAAAGAGUGAAAAAAUAUUUCGGUUGUCAACUAUUUUGCAACUCUGACUUGCUUAAUGGUAUGAGUCUUGAUUGAUGUUAUAACUCAAGUUUUCACCCCUGGAAAUGGGAAUUUUCCAUGUGAAAAUCCUGGAUACGAGUUUAAAACUAGUUCAACCAUAUAAACUCUACUGGGACUCCCUUCUACCAUAAAUUUUUUUGUAUCUCCUGCCUUAAAUGCCAUUGCCUCCCGAACGGGAACAGCGAAAGCUCCAUUAAUUGGCCUUUGCUUUUGGUGCACCAGGAAAGCAGUAGCUUGUUGCUUGCAGCAAGAAAGCCGUAGCUUGCGGACUGAUCUCACCAUUUAGAUAUCAACUUCCCAUAUGACAUAUCUGAGGUAGUCCAAACGUGCGAGCCGUGCUUGCUUAUUAGGUGAUACCAGACUCUCGGAUAAGUGCAGCAUAAGCUUAGAACUAUCUCAAAUCGGGUUAGGCAAUUGAAGCCCCUAGCUGAAUGAAUCCAACCAGUUACCACCCCUUUUUUUCCGAAGUGGUAAGGGAAAGCAAGGCACUUCCCUCAAAUUUAUUGUAAGAUUGUUUACAAGUGAAAAUAGCAUGAAGGAGUACAAGAUUGAAGAUUUAUUUGAGGGCGAGCAUCUGUGGAGAAAAGGUGGACGUUAGCUUUCUGUGGCUAUCUAUCAAUUUCUCUGGGCAUGGAUUUCCCCACGGUUUGAAGGCAUGAAGAAUUUUGCUGAGCACCACAGGCUCUGAGUUCCUUUCAAGGAAGAUGUGAGAGCUUCCCUCGUGCCAAACAAGCCAGCAAGUCGCAAUUACCAGUUAAAGGAUGCAUGGCGCCUCUCGUAAAGAAUAGAAGAUAGCAAGGAACUUCGACACAAAAUGUUCUUCUAAAUAUUUAAACAUGAGUAAUUCCAUUAAGUUGAUCUCUUUAUCCCUUUUCAUUAGAAAAAGAAAACUCCUAGUAGUGGUGGAGAAUUAACUAGGUGCCUCGAGAAUUUUUCUAGCAAGUUGUUAUCAAUUGCAUUGGAAUAAUUCAAAUAAUCUAUAUCAGGCUUAAUACCCCCUCAUCUAUAUUCUGGGUAAUGUAUAUGGAGCAUGAAAUAAGCUAAUAAAAUAAAUAAUUGGCACUCGAACAUACAAUUUAAAUCAUUAAAAGAAGGCAAAAACUAUAAUAAAGCAAUAACCAAAUUAACUAAGUAAAUAAUUGACAUAGCGGGGAUUCAGACUCAUGAUUUCCGGUAACUUGAGCUUUGAUGGCAUGUAAUUAACCAUUAGAUCAAAAAUCUUAAAUUAUUAGAGAAUAAAUUAACAACAUAUAUCAGACUCAACAACUUUAGCUUCUAAUCAAAUGACAAUUAAAUGGUUUCUCUGUUAAUCCUCUAGGGAAAAAUAUCAUACAUGAUGGCUCUUUCUCGUUUUCCAAUGAGAGGGCUCCUUUCUGGGACGCAAGCGGUCGCAUCAUCAUCUACCAUUAUGGAUUUUUUUUUUUCUCGGCUGAGAUUAAAAUUGCUUAGGAUCAAACAACCUCAGGCUGCAUAGUUUAAUGGUUUCAAGUCUCUCGGGGGCAGUCUGCAUCCAAUCCCAAUUCUAAGCACUAACCGCCACACAUUAGUAAGCUUCUAUCAUAUUGGAAUUAUACUGCUUAGAUCUGGCUGGAAUUAGCUUAACUGAAUAACCAGCAAAAAGCAUGAGUUAUGGACUAGAAUCUCUUAAUAUAUUUGUCAUAAAAGUUACCUUAAGUAAAAAGAAAUGUGUUGCAAUUUUUGUGGGACUAGAACAUAGCAUGACAGCCACACAAAAUUCUUUAUGCAUGCUAGGGACAGGGUAAUUAAGUUGGCACAUUCACAGCUGCAAGCUAUAUAAGAUUCAAUGUGGUUCUCCUUUUCCUCUCAUACAAUGAAGAUUUAAGAAAAUUUUUGUAGACAUGAUGUUGAACUAGAAGGAUUCUACCUCAGGGUUUUUCUAAUAUAUAUAUAUAUAUAUAUAUAAUCUCUCGAUUGGUUCUUUAACCAUCUUUUCUUCUUGUGGUUGUAAUUGCUGUAACUAACAAUAACCAAUUGGAGGUAAAGUGAUCUAGCUGUUGUGUUACAUAAAAUGCAUGUCUUGGCUUGUACCACUCAAGCUACUUUGGGCAAGUUCAAGUGAAGCCAAAAUUCUAGCUCCUAUUGAGAUCUCUUCUUAGCUUUUUCACUGGCGAUCUCGUUGGAGACUAAGAGAUUAGCUCAUUGAAAUUUUGUUAACCUUUGUAAAAAGGUUCCUCUGGGAAACCUUAGUCAGAAAUCAUCUUGUCAAUAUCAAGGAAUCAAAUAUAUAUAUACUGUCAGCGAACGCCUCUAAUACAUCUCAAUUAGCCAUGAACACUUAAAUAUAAUCUAACCUCUCAAAUGUCUCAUUAGGUGAUUAGCUUGUUAAUCUUAAUAGGAAGUGUUGAGACUUGGACUAUAGUAUGAGUCGUAACAAAUACAUACAAAGAAUAACCCUUAGCUCGUCUAUCUGCAGGCACAGAUGCACCGUCAAGUGCUAAUUAAAUAUCAAGGCACAGCGAUAUACGAUUACUCGUAAAUAGGAAGAUGUACAUCAUGGAUCAUUGAAGCACAUAUUCUCAUUACCAUGCACUUCUGGAUCUUUAUUUACUGAAUGAAAACAAUGACCUCUUAACAAGCGCGAACAUGAAUGUUAAUCUGAAGGUUUCGAUGCUUCGAGUUACAGGUUCGACUCCGGAUUAGCAUCACUAGGAUGGCGGGCAACUCUAGCAAAAUAUUAAGCAUGCCUCUGCCAUCUUUACUCUCCAAAUCUGGACCUUAGAGCUUAAACUGCAAGCGGCUAGAGAAAGUCUGACCAAAUUGCCAAUUUGAGGGAACAAUGUCAGGAAAGACCAAGGUUUGGCCAUCCGUUGUUGCGACUCUGAAGGAGAGGGACUGGCCAUUAAGAUAAGCGUUGGAUUGCCAGUUUGCCCCCCAGUUCCUGGACAUCGACAGCCAGCCAGUUUUGGAGCCUUUGACAGCCAUGGAUUGGAUUGAUCCAGCGCCCGCAACAUUCGUCACAAGGACAAGUUCAAAGUAGUCCCUUCCAUUAAUGGCGAACCUUACUCCUCCAUGCUUCUUGCAUGGAACCCUACAUUGUUCCUCGAUGCGAUUAGUCAAGCUCAAUCUUGAUGUCAUAAAAAUAAACAAAGAGAAGAAAACAACCUAUGAAAUUGUUUUGAUUCUAUGAAAAUAAUGGAAAAGAAAUGAAAGAGAAAAAAAAAAAAGGCUUUGAUGAGAAAAUAAAGAUAUAAUAUUAUUCUCAUCAAAUCUCUACAGCAUUAUCCUUCCUAAUCAAGAAAUCAGAUUAUAAGUUGCAUGAUUAAGUCAGGCCAAGGUCCAUUUUUACUAGGCUAGCUAGGAUCCAUACUUCUAGGCAAAAUUUGAACAUAUUCAGGGAAUCAGAUCUAGGACUGGUGCAUAGAUUUCAGAGUUGUCUUAGUUGGCAAAAGAAAUAAUUGUCUGCCAGUGGAACCAGCCAAAAGUAUCCGAUUCCGUGACAUGGGAUUAGAUCCAGCUCAUCUAGCGGAUGAGACAUCCCUGCCAACGAGCAAAUCUAGUGGCCAAAAUGUUGUCGGCUGUCUUAAGCCUGUCAUCUGAAAACAAAAGUUCAGAGACCAGAUGAAACAAGACAAAAAAAAAAGAGAAAACAACAACCUCUGGUAGAUCACCGGCACAAUCCCACCGCGGUAGAUGCCGAUCUUCUCCCAUGCAGGCUGGGCCAUGUCGAAAUGCUGGCGAGGCGGGUUGCACCAUCCGCCAUUGUCAUUGGGAAGUGCGAAGUUCGGAGGGCAGAAGUUGGUGGCGGUGAUGGUCACCGACAGACCUCUCCUGCACCACCGAUGGUCCGCUCGGUAGUCACACAUGAUCUUGUAGCACUGGCCACAUGCAGCCCCGUCGUCGAACAAGGCCGUGCUCAGAGCUGCGGUUCUCGUCCCGUACCCCGCAGAGUACAGGUUACCAUAGCCACAUGCCCCGCCUGCAAACGAUCCACCGAGAUUCAGUCUCGAGUGCUUGUAUAAGUGCUCACAAAGUAGCGAAAUGCAUUAACGAAGAACAAGUUAUGAGUGGAAGGAAGUAGAUAGGAAGGAUACCCAUAGUUCCAGACGCAUCGCUUCCGCCAUAGAAUGUCGCCGAGGCCUUGAUCCACCCAGAGGGCGCAAAGCCAUCGACGGUGAAUACCAUGCAGCUCAUUGAUAGCAUGAUCAGAAGCCCAAACUUGGCACCCAUCUCCAUAUCUCACAGUGAGACCAAGAUGGCUAAGAGGAAAAGAAGAUCGAAACUGGCUCCCAAAUUUAGAGGUUGCAAUGGGUCUUUAAAUAGGGAGGAGAAGGCACAUCAUUGGAGCAAGCUAGCUACCACAUGUGACUGCUGCAAGAGCACCCAUGACUUGUGGGUUUCUAAUGGCAGUAUUCUUGUCCUUAUUGAUCGGCCGACUCCUAUCUCUGCUAUCCCUGGGAGAUCUUAUCACUCCCAUGUUCUCCUCCUUGUUGAAGGCUUUAUUUUAUUUUUUCUUCUCUCCUUGUUUAUUUGGAUGCCAUGGCUGGAUAUGUUCCCUUGGUUCUUUUAGGGUGGUGGGAAUAUUAAAUGAGAGGCAUCACAUGAUCACGUGAGCCUGACCGCGGUGCACAUGGACACCGAACUUUGAAGUGCUACCAACCAAGAUAGAUUUGGUGGCUUGGAUUCAACUUUAUGCUAUCAGUUCCUAUGAGAUGAGUUCAGCUUGCUAUCUAGCUUGGAAAAAAACUAAAAACUAAAAUAAAAAUAAGCAUAUAAUAUCUUACACUCGAUGACCAAGUUUUUCGAUGAGCCCAAGGGAACUAUAAUCGAACAGAUACAAGGUUACAACAUUGAGCCACAAAUGAGCAUGUCUACAGAGAGACGAAAGUUUGUAGACUAUUUGGCAGAGUGGUCUCUGGUAAAUCAAACUGGGUAUUAAUAUGAUCUAGUUUGUUAUCGACUAAAUAUUAGGAGGGAUCCGCGAUAUUCUCAACAGUGAUCACCAAAUCAAUAUAGGAAAGAUUCUGAUAAAUUCAUGCAUGGGAUGCAUCCAUCUGAAAUUGACAUGGAAAUAUCAUGCAUCUACGUACUAUUAAGAUUCUUUGAAUUUCAAAAUCCAAGCCAAAAAAGAAUCUAUAAAAUGUGUCAAUUCUAGUUGCAGUACAAGUACAUAUCCAUGUUAAUUAGCAAGAUUUUUCUUUUGAUCUUCAUAAUUCUAGCUAAAGGAAAGAAUUUUCAUUGACACGUGUACAAAAGGCAUCAAUUUAAAUAUAUGGAUCAACACCAUAUAUACAUCAAUUGGUAGUGCUUUUUUCUUUUCCAAAAAAAAUAUUUGUACUUUUUCUGAAUUUUAGAAUUUGCUAAUUAGUGUGCAGACAAAAUGCUUUAGCUGAACAUGUACUUAAAAGUAUAUGCAACUAAAAAAAAAAAUUCUCAGAAAAUAGUCAUAAAACAUGUACUAUAAGCUUGGUGUCUUGAACUGAACUUUUAUAACAGAAGGUUGGAAAGUUUGUUUUGUAUCCUAAAUAGAUACUUGGAUUGCAUCAUGGGGUACACAGAAAUGGGUUGUCCGCAAUGUCGUCAUUAACUAAUUUCACUAAACAUAAGAAAACUUGUAGGAUAUGGAAUUGCCUCGCCAGAUUGUAGGACAAAAGGGUAUAAGGAACAGCAACUGUUCAAAAGUUUAGUAGGAGCUGUUGUUCCAGUAUAGCCACUGUUCAAAAAUAAUUGAUGCAUCCUACUCCAAUAACAAGCUUUAUAUAGUAACAGUUAUUUAUGAUGAUGUCGCUACAAUAUUUAUGAUAGACAUAUAGUAGAAGCAUGGGUGAAAUAUAUCAGAUGCAUAUGUUAAGAUAGCACUAUAAUUUAUAAGCAAAUAGUAUAAACUAGUAAACAUGACAUAUUACUUACAAGGUUCAUCAUGCUUAGGGGUGAAAGUGGACUGAAAAAAUUUCCGUUAGGACCUGCAACUAUAUCUAAAUAUUUGGAUACGAAUACAAAUUUGAGUAUUCAGCUAAUAUCGAUAUCCAUAUCCAUCAAAGAAAAAUAAAUAUGGAUAUAAAUAGACAACAAUCCGAUAUAUACCCGAUUAUCUAGUUUUAUGUGCAAUCUAUUCAAUUUUAUACAGUUCCCAUCUUUAACUUAAACAUUUAUAGUGACAUCUUUAAUUUGAUGGUUCCUAAAGUUUGACUAUUUCACACACACACACACAUCACUAUCAUUAUCCAAUUUGUACCUGUAUUUCUUUAAAACAAAUACUGAAAUGAAUUUUAACAUCUGAUUAGUAUCUCUAUCCUUUUUAUAGUUUUCAAAUAAAAACAGAUAUGAAUAUGGAUCCAAUCUCUAUCCGAUCCAUUUUCAUCCCUGAUCAUGUUCAUUACAAAGAUCAUUAUUUAUGACAGACUUGAAUUUUCUUUCUGGCUUAAUCAUAUGUUUCUUUUCUAUAUUUUCUUCAUCAUUUCUUCCAUCUACCUUCGCAUGUAAAGAAGGCAUCCAGAUUCCAAGGCAACCCUUUUCCCAGUACUCUCUUGCUUCUAUUCUCUUAUGCACAUUCCACAAUUGCCAGUUUUGAAUAUUGUUGGAGAUGUUGGAGGACCACCUCAAAACACCAUAAACAAUCUUCACCAAUUCAACCAAUCUUAUCCAAAGCUAUUCUUUUUAUUUGUUUCAUUGUUAUCAAAAUCUUUAGUUAGACCCUACAUCAGUAAGUUCUGCAUUUAGUGCAUGGUUCCCUAAUCCCCUACUGGCAUUAAAAGUGGGAGAAGGGGAGACAGGAGAGGAGGUGCAGGUUUAAAUUUUGGAAGGGAAAGGUGAGAUCUUCACCUUUCUCCAUCCCUUAAAUCUCCAUCCAGUGCAUAUCACCACCCAUCUUACUUAAACCUUACAUUGAUUUAACUACCCAGAAAAAUUACAUUGAUUCAACAAAAAGAAGAAGAAAAAAGCAACUUUUGCAGGUUAACUGGCUGAAAUGUCAUGCCUCCACAAAAGCCACAAAGCAGGGCCACAGUUAGUACUAGAGGCUUUAUAACAAAUAUUUCUUUUUCUUUUCACAAGCCAUUAGUUUUUUAAGUCUUUGGGUAAUAUCAAAGAGAGAAAUAGAGGGAGUGUAUGUGACUACUUGAAGAGAAUGUAGGUGAUGGUGCAAUGAGAUUGUUCACAUUGUAGCAGCAUAUUAUAGAUGAUAUAUGAAGGGUAUUCUGGAAUGCAAAUUGGCAUAUAGUUUAAAACAUCCAAGUUUUUUUUUGUAUAAUUCAUAUAUAAAUUCUCUGUCUGUCACAUUAUGUAUCGGUUAUUACUAUAAUUUGCAAAGGCAUCUCCUAACUUUAUUUGAAGUGUAUUCUAAGUCGCAGUCAGCACAUGGGUCUCAGACCAUUUAAGCCUUCAUCUUCCCAUACAUGGAAUGUAAAACCAGUUGCCUCUUCACGUCGCAUGGAGUCAAUGACAGAAGGACAGGAAUUUUAGAAUGCUUACUACUCAACAGGGAAGUUCUCGCUUCAGUUAUUGUAAUAAGCAAUAAAAUAUGUCAACCAUAAGUUCGAUGAAGAAACAAGGCUUAGUAGAAGACCACAAUGUGUUCUUAUUUCAUUUAUACUUUUUGUUGUUUUUUAAGGGAAAAGGUGGCCAUAGCCACCUGAAUUUAUCAAAAUAAGAAAAGGAUUACAGAGAGAAUAAAGAAAGAAGAAAAGAAGAAAAGAAGUUCUUGGUCAGAGGCCAAAGGUAAAGAGAACAAACUAAGACCCAGAUAUUGCAACUUAUGUUUGAAACUAUAGAAUUUGAAAUUCUUUAAAUUUCAAUUUGGGCAUAGCAAUUUAUUGCUUGGAAUAUAUUUUCAGUCAUUGAAUAAUCCCACAGGAGAACUUUCUUUGCCCAACAACACAAGAUCCAAUGUGACACAAGCUUAAAGAAACAAAUUUUCAGUCGUCGAUCCUGGAUAUGCUAUCAAGGUCAAAGCUAAAGCUGAAUUCAGAUAAUUAUUCCUAUUCCUCUCUUUAAAUGCUUGGCCAUUUGGUCAUGUUACGUAGAAUGAAAACAAAUCAAGGGUGUCAAAGUUGUUUCACGACGAGAAAGGACCAUGCUGCAUUUUAAAUAACUUCUGGAAUGUAUGAACUACGACACUCUACUGAAAUACCUAAGAAACAGAACACCUGCAGUCCAGUCCUAGAAAGCUACAUCAAAUUACGCAUCCAUAAUGUGGAGUCAAAGGUACAGCCCAUGUGAAAACGUAGUGUACGAUCACAUAGUUUAGGACGUGCAUGGUUUAAGAAACAAGAUUGGAUAAUAAUUCUUAUAGUUGACAAGAAGUCACCCUGUAAAUGAUUAAACAUACCAACUACCACCUGCUUUUAUGCUUCUCAUAGUCCAUAAGUCACCUGUAAAUGAUUUAAAAUCAAAGAUAGCAACCACCAACUUAGUACAAACAACAAGAGAUGAGCUUUUCAAACCAGAGUACACAUUCUUCAAUCCCGCAUUGCAAUAUUAAUUACAUAAACCGUGUACAAAAGUCAUAGCAAGCUGAAAAGGUUGACUUGUAUACGAUGACUUGAAACCCUAGUCGUGUAGCAUUGAAGCAUCGGUUAAUUGUUUUACCCGGUUCUGCUGCAUUGCCUUCGCUUUAUCCCCCCUGGAGCUUGCAAGCUGAAGAAAGUUAGAAGCGCUUGCUCAGCCCAAUCCAGCUCAAUUGUCAUAAAUGUGCUUUAAUAGCUGCCAGUACCACAUCAUGCACACCAGUAUUUCAAGCCAACUGUAAAGCAGAUAAACAAAACAAUUGGUGGGCGCACAGUUGAAUUUGAUCUGAUUCAGUUUCUUUAUUUGCAUAUUGUUCAUCCAAUAUAAGAAAUUAAUAGCUAUAGAGGUAGUAAUCAUGUAACUUGAGUUUCUUUGUUUGCAGUAUUCUGGAUUACACCCCACUAACCAUAUCAUUCACCAACUAAUAUUCUAACAAAUUCAGCCAAUUAAAAAAAAUGACGGGACAAUGAGUCAUUUGCUCAAACAGAACUGUGAACACAUGGUCAUCAAAAAGCACUAUCGGAUAAAAACUUGUAAUGAAGAUACAAAUGAUUGUAAUGUAUUUUGGUCCUCACCAUUGCUUCAACAAAAAUUUAGUUUGUUGAACAGCAUAUGGAACCAUAAAAAAGGAAUAAGUCCCAACUAAAACUCAUCAUCCUCCUCUGCAAUAUGUUUAGCAAGCUCCUGCUGCUGCUGCUGCCUCUCACGUCUCUUCUCUGCACUUUCCUUCUCCCUGUGGGAGUUUGGUGGAAACUUCAGCGCUCUAACCGCUUCAUUGUGCAUGUUAAGGCAAAAGGCAAUCCUCGAAUUGAACGCAAUCUGGGGUUCAUUUGUGGAGUAGACAUCACCAGUCUCUUUGGAUAGCAUCCAUCCAUUAGCAUGAUCAAUUGUUGCAUCAAUUGCUCCAUCUCGGAUGGCCUUGGCUACAAUGCUCUCAGCAUCUGCCACUGGAUUAUCAGAGUCCAAUCUCAACUUUCUGGCAACAUCAGCCAAGGAUAUGGACGAGUAAGAAAUGCUGACAUUGCGGAGUCCAGUUCGAAUCACAUUAUGGCGCAACCUCACAAUCAAAUUACGGGUCCUAUCUGAACUGAAAGUGCCAGCAAAUUUUUCUGCAACGGUCCUAAACAGCUCCAGAUCUCCAAUUCGCACAGCCUAAUAUCAGGAAAUUAAAAUAUUAAAGCUAUAAACAUAAACUGUGACAGUUUCUGUUAAUUGAGUUGACAAUGACAAUCUCACAUUUGUAAGCUCAAAAUAGGGUGUUAAAGCCUUCUUCAUGCCUUUCUGCAUAAAAACAGUUCUCUCAGGGAUUUCCCCUAGAAGUAACCGGACUAUAACAGCCCACUUGUUGCAUUGGAUUCGAAAACCUCGUGCUCCAACAGGCGCCUUUCGAGCAGCUUGCAGGAGGCUUUCUUUGGCAUCAGUGUAUUCCAACUGAAUGGUCCUGAUCUUUCCUACGUAAAACAGGUAGCGGCAAAACUAUAGGAGAAAAACACUCGAGGUUAGAACCUGUGUUUGUUUCACAACAAGAACAAUGUCACGGUAAUUUUCAUAAAGUCAUAAGAGAAAGUAUUGCCUGCUGAUUGGAAUGUGCUUCAAAACGCGGUGCCUUAGACCUCAGUUUCUCAGCCUGGUCAUACAAGUUAUAAUGGAGGUAAUUGCGGAGAAGCAAGUUGAGAAGUGUUUCCUGCAUCUCACCAGUAUUAAUUGGUAAAUUUCAGAAUAUCAAUGUAUAAUAAAACACCUCUGUGUAAAGCAACAAACCUGACCCAGCUCAUCAUGCCGUAAGGUGGCCAUGCGAUGCAAGGCAAGGAGGGUCCUGACAAGGAAAGAUCGCUGUGUAAGAAGAAGCUACAACUAUUACACCAAAGCACUGAGAUAGCACAAUUUGAGGCAUUUCAUCUGUACGAUGCUGUGCAGGUCAUGAGAACUGCAAUCUCGGAUAAUGUGAAAACUAACUCACCCACGAAUUUCAGCUAGACUGUUUGUAAGUUCAUAGCUGUAGGAAUAAUAAAAGUACAGCCGAGAUGCUAAAAUAUCCACGGUUCUUCUGUUCAAAUUCUUAAGGCGAGCAAUACUUGCAGAGGAACAAGCUUUAGCCUGAGAGACAGAGAGGGAGAGAAUAAAAAGGUAAAUAACCUUUUGUCCAUAACCAAAGAAAUAAAAGCAAGUUACAAUCUAGAAGAAAGUUACCUCUUCGUAUCUCUUUUGGUCAAUCAAAAAUAUUAUCAGAAGUAAGUAACAGUAGAUCUCAAGCUCUGGUAGCGAGCACUUAAAAGGAACUUGACCGGCUGAAGUUGCCGUAUCCACGUCCAUAUCAUGUUUAUCUUCCUGAAAUCAAAAUUACAAGUCCCAUAUUAUAUCUAAGUGGAGGAUUUCCAUAAUUGAAUGAGAAUUGUUCCUUAAUUACAAAUCUCAAUGCACAAUACAGUCUACCUAAUUAAGACAAUUAAUAGAUGGGGUAAAAGACCCAAGUAUGCACCACAUGCAAAUUUUACAGCAAGGUAGCAGCACCAAAUUCCAAACCAGGAUCUACUGUUACAACAAAAUUCAUUACAAACAUGAGAGGACAUUGCACCAUGUAUAGGUGCCAGAAGAAUUCUGAGCACCGCCAUGUAUAGGUGAUAAUGUAGGAAUUCUGCAAUAGGCGAUAAUGUAGGAAUUCUGCAGUGAUUGUGCCAGAGGAAAUGGCAUAAGUUAGCUCAACAUUUCAACUACAAAUAUAUCAUUUUUUAUUAUUUAUUUCAAUUGAUUAAGUUUAUUUCUCUAAUCUGGGGCUUCACACUACUUGCAAUGAUGUGGAUAUCAUAAUUAAAAUUAAAGACUUUCCAUUGUCAGCAAAAAAAGCAGAACGAGAAACCAAUAUAACAUGAAACAAUCAAUAGGUACAUUUGGUGAAGGAGAUUUAUGACUUUGAAGAGAAGAUGGACAAGAUGAACGAAUAGAAAGAAAAUUUAUCAAAUCCUUGAAAAACUGUUCAGAUUGCUGCAACUCCAACUUUUAUCAUAACCAAAAGUGCCACAAAAUAAUGAGCUGAGGGAAGGGCAAAUGAAUUAAUCUUACUACAAAUCAAGGUCUGCAGUACCGGAAUCGGCAUCCAUGCUGGUAAGCUUGCGGUAUGGUACGGUACACCCCCAUGUUGUGUCGUUCUGGCGUGAAUCAACGAAAAAAUUGGUAAGGGAAGAGAAGAGGAAGGAGAGAGGAAGAGAAGGAAGGAGGAAGCGGGAGAGUGCAGCAGAGAGAGGCA
rnacentral:lncRNA from 1 species